rnacentral:rRNA from 1 species
AGGACGAACGCUGGCGGCGUGCUUAACACAUGCAAGUCGAACGGAAAGGCCCGCUUGCGGGUACUCGAGUGGCGAACGGGUGAGUAACACGUGGGCAACCUGCCCUCAGCUUCGGGAUAACAUUUGGAAACAGGUGCUAAUACCGGAUAAUAACCUUUCAUCGCAUGGUGUGGGGUUCAAAGUUUUUCGGCUGGGGAUGGGCCCGCGGCCUAUCAGCUUGUUGGUGGGGUAAUGGCCUACCAAGGCGACGACGGGUAGCCGGCCUGAGAGGGCGACCGGCCACACUGGGACUGAGACACGGCCCAGACUCCUACGGGAGGCAGCAGUGGGGAAUAUUGCGCAAUGGGCGGAAGCCUGACGCAGCGACGCCGCGUGAGGGAUGACGGCCUUCGGGUUGUAAACCUCUUUCAGCUCUGACGAAGCGCAAGUGACGGUAGGAGCAGAAGAAGCACCGGCAACUACGCGCCAGCAGCCGC